rnacentral:rRNA from 1 species
UUACGGGAGGCAGCAGUAGGGAAUCUUCCACAAUGGGCGAAAGCCUGAUGGAGCAACGCCGCGUCGGUGAAGAAGGUCUUCGGAUCGUAAAACCCUGUUGGGGGUUAAAAAAGUGAAUUCCUUUAACUUCCCCGUUCGGCCU